rnacentral:rRNA from 1 species
UACGUAGGGGGCAAGCGUUGUCCGGAUUUAUUGGGCGUAAAGAGCGUGUAGGCGGCUUCACAGGUCUGCUGUGAAAACUCGAGGCUCAACCUCGAGCUGUCGGUGGAAACCGUGGGGCUAGAGUCCGGAAGAGGAGAGUGGAAUUCCUGGUGUAGCGGUGGAAUGCGCAGAUAUCAGGAGGAACACCAAUAGCGAAGGCAGCUCGCUGGGACGGUACUGACGCUAAGGCGCGAAAGCAUGGGGAGCGAACAGG